rnacentral:rRNA from 1 species
AGAGUUUGAUCCUGGCUCAGGACGAACGCUGGCGGCGUGCCUAAUACAUGCAAGUAGAACGCUGAAGAGAGGAGCUUGCUCUUCUUGGAUGAGUUGCGAACGGGUGAGUAACGCGUAGGUAACCUGCCUUGUAGCGGGGGAUAACUAUUGGAAACGAUAGCUAAUACCGCAUAACAAUGGAUGACUCAUGUCAUUUAUUUGAAAGGGGCAAAUGCUCCACUACAAGAUGGACCUGCGUUGUAUUAGCUAGUAGGUGAGGUAACGGCUCACCUAGGCGACGAUACAUAGCCGACCUGAGAGGGUGAUCGGCCACACUGGGACUGAGACACGGCCCAGACUCCUACGGGAGGCAGCAGUAGGGAAUCUUCGGCAAUGGGGGCAACCCUGACCGAGCAACGCCGCGUGAGUGAAGAAGGUUUUCGGAUCGUAAAGCUCUGUUGUAAGUCAAGAACGAGUGUGAGAGUGGAAAGUUCACACUGUGACGGUAGCUUACCAGAAAGGGACGGCUAACUACGUGCCAGCAGCCGCGGUAAUACGUAGGUCCCGAGCGUUGUCCGGAUUUAUUGGGCGUAAAGCGAGCGCAGGCGGUUAGAUAAGUCUGAAGUUAAAGGCUGUGGCUUAACCAUAGUACGCUUUGGAAACUGUUUAACUUGAGUGCAGAAGGGGAGAGUGGAAUUCCAUGUGUAGCGGUGAAAUGCGUAGAUAUAUGGAGGAACACCGGUGGCGAAAGCGGCUCUCUGGUCUGUAACUGACGCUGAGGCUCGAAAGCGUGGGGAGCGAACAGGAUUAGAUACCCUGGUAGUCCACGCCGUAAACGAUGAGUGCUAGGUGU